rnacentral:tRNA from 1 species
GGGCCUGUAGCUUAGUUGGUAGAGCGCUGCUAUGGCAUAGCAGAGGUCACGAGUUCGAAUCUCGUCAGGUCCA